CAUUGAAGAUAAGUGAGUUGGA
rnacentral:miRNA from 1 species